AUUGAACGCUGGCGGCAGGCCUAACACUUGCAAGUCGAGCGGUAGAGAGAAGCUUGCUUCUCUUGAGAGCGGCGGACGGGUGAGUAAUGCCUAGGAAUCUGCCUGGUAGUGGGGGAUAACGUUCGGAAACGGACGCUAAUACCGCAUACGUCCUACGGGAGAAAGCAGGGGACCUUCGGGCCUUGCGCUAUCAGAUGAGCCUAGGUCGGAUUAGCUAGUUGGUGAGGUAAUGGCUCACCAAGGCGACGAUCCGUAACUGGUCUGAGAGGAUGAUCAGUCACACUGGAACUGAGACACGGUCCAGACUCCUACGGGAGGCAGCAGUGGGGAAUAUUGGACAAUGGGCGAAAGCCUGAUCCAGCCAUGCCGCGUGUGUGAAGAAGGUCUUCGGAUUGUAAAGCACUUUAAGUUGGGAGGAAGGGCAGUAAAUUAAUACUUUGCUGUUUUGACGUUACCGACAGAAUAAGCACCGGCUAACUCUGUGCCAGCAGCCGCGGUAAUACAGAGGGUGCAAGCGUUAAUCGGAAUUACUGGGCGUAAAGCGCGCGUAGGUGGUUUGUUAAGUUGGAUGUGAAAUCCCCGGGCUCAACCUGGGAACUGCAUUCAAAACUGACUGACUAGAGUAUGGUAGAGGGUGGUGGAAUUUCCUGUGUAGCGGUGAAAUGCGUAGAUAUAGGAAGGAACACCAGUGGCGAAGGCGACCACCUGGACUAAUACUGACACUGAGGUGCGAAAGCGUGGGGAGCCAACAGGAUUAGAUACCCUGGUAGUCCACCCCGUAAACGAAUGUCAACUAGCUGUUGGAAGCAUGAAGCUUUUAGUGGCGCAGUUAACGCAUUAAGUUGUCCGCCUGGGGAGUAAGGCUGCAAGGUUAAAACUCAAAUGAAUUGACGGGGGCCCGCACAAGCGGUGGAGCAUGUGGUUUAAUUCGAAGCAACGCGAAGAACCUUACCAGGCCUUGACAUACAAUGAACUUUCUAGAGAUAGAUUGGUGCCUUCGGGAACAUUGAGACAGGUGCUGCAUGGCUGUCGUCAGCUCGUGUCGUGAGAUGUUGGGUUAAGUCCCGUAACGAGCGCAACCCUUGUCCUUAGUUACCAGCACGUAAUGGUGGGCACUCUAAGGAGACUGCCGGUGACAAACCGGAGGAAGGUGGGGAUGACGUCAAGUCAUCAUGGCCCUUACGGCCUGGGCUACACACGUGCUACAAUGGUCGGUACAGAGGGUUGCCAAGCCGCGAGGUGGAGCUAAUCCCAUAAAACCGAUCGUAGUCCGGAUCGCAGUCUGCAACUCGACUGCGUGAAGUCGGAAUCGCUAGUAAUCGCGAAUCAGAAUGUCGCGGUGAAUACGUUCCAGGGCCU
rnacentral:rRNA from 1 species